CCUACGGGAGGCAGCAGUCGGGAAUAUUGCCCAAUGGACGAAAGUCUGAGGCAGCAACGCCGCGUGCGCGAUGAAGGCCUUCGGGUCGUAAAGCGCUUUUCGGGAGGAUGAGGAAGGACAGUACUCCCGGAAUAAGGUACGGCUAACUACGUGCCAGCAGCCGCGGUAAAACGUAGGUACCGAGCGUUAUCCGGAUUUACUGGGCGUAAAGCGCGUUCAGGCGGCUUGGCAAGUCGGGCAUGAAAUCUCUCGGCUCAACCGGGAGGGGCUGUCCGAUACUGCUGGGCUUGAGGGCAGGAGAGGGUGGUGGAAUUCCGGGUGUAGUGGUGAAAUGCGUAGAGAUCCGGAGGAACACCAGUGGCGAAAGCGGCCACCUGGCCUGCACCUGACGCUCCAACGCGAAAGCUAGGGGAGCGAACGGGAUUAGAUACCCUAGUAGU
rnacentral:rRNA from 1 species